AUUGAACGCUGGCGGCAUGCCUUACACAUGCAAGUCGAACGGUAACAGGUUAAGCUGACGAGUGGCGAACGGGUGAGUAAUACAUCGGAACGUGCCCAGUAGUGGGGGAUAGCCCGGCGAAAGCCGGAUUAAUACCGCAUACGACCUAAGGGUGAAAGGGGGGGAUCGCAAGACCUCUCGCUAUUGGAGCGGCCGAUGUCAGAUUAGCUAGUUGGUGGGGUAAAAGCUCUCCAAGGCGACGAUCUGUAGCUGGUCUGAGAGGACGACCAGCCACACUGGGACUGAGACACGGCCCAGACUCCUACGGGAGGCAGCAGUGGGGAAUUUUGGACAAUGGGCGCAAGCCUGAUCCAGCCAUGCCGCGUGCGGGAAGAAGGCCUUCGGGUUGUAAACCGCUUUUGUCAGGGAAGAAAUCCUUUGGGUUAAUACCUCGGGGGGAUGACGGUACCUGAAGAAUAAGCACCGGCUAACUACGUG
rnacentral:rRNA from 1 species